rnacentral:rRNA from 1 species
UACGUAGGGAGCAAGCGUUGUCCGGAAUCAUUGGGCGUAAAGAGCGCGUAGGCGGAAACGCCAGUCCGGCUUGAAAGCCCCCGGCUCAACCGGGGAGAGUGGCUGGAAACUGCGUUUCUUGAGGGCGAGAGAGGAGGGUGGAAUUCCUGGUGUAGCGGUGAAAUGCGUAGAGAUCAGGAGGAACACCCGUGGCGAAGGCGGCCCUCUGGCUCGACCCUGACGCUGAGGCGCGAAAGCGUGGGGAGCGAACGGG